UUUUUGUGAACUUCAAUCAGUUUUCAUUUAUUUGCCAACUGCUAAGGUUGUCAGACGGUAGAGGAGGACACAGCCACUUGCAGAAGAACAACUGAUUAAAUCUACAUCAAAGAAAAGGAAGGGUGAAUAACAGAUUCAAGACAACACCAAGAAAAAGAAGAGGAAGAAAACGGAAAGAAUGUUUCAUCACUCAGGAGAGAUCAGAGGGAACGGGCGAUAAGGAGUCCAACAAAAACAAGAAGAGAAGAAAGAAGAAGAAAACUAUCACAGAUGUGCUGACGAGCUCUGAGCCUGUGCCAGGCUCUCCAGCUGACCUUCUGAGCCUUUUGAAGAGUCACCACAGCCAGACCCGCUCUGUUAUUGAGCAGGGGAACUGACGCUAAGCGGCAGCUGAUGGUGUUCAAAGACAAGCUAAAGUGCUGAAGCUGUUCGCAAAACACAUCAAGGUGGAUGAACAGAUAAAGUCACUGAGUAAAGGUGUGACCCAAAUUGCUGUUGGAACUCCUGGGAGAAUGUGUGCCAUUAGAGAAAGAGGGUUUGACUGCACAAGCACUGAGAUAUCUGGUUCUGGACUGGAACUACAGAGACCAGAAGCACAGGAGAAUGGUGGAUAUACCAGAGGUGAAAGGAGACUUGCUGAAAAUGAUGGACCAUGGUCUAAUCCAGAGCUGCAGGGAAGGAACAGUUAAAAUAGGACUCUUUUAAGCAGACAUUGUGUUCUCUGUUAUUUACACAUUCAUGUUCAUUUACUUGUUCAGCAUGUAAUAGAGCUAUUGUAAUGUAUAUUAGUGCCAUAUGUCUGCUGCAAGAA